rnacentral:lncRNA from 7 species
CUUAUGUUUUUGUCUCUGUGGAGGUUUUUUCCGUUGUUUCCGUUGUUUUCGUUGUUUCCAUUCUUUCCGUUGUUCUUCUUGACCUGUCACCUAAUUUUCUGCCUUAUGUUUCUGUCUCUGUGGAGGUAGUUUCGGUUGUUUCUGUUGUUUCCGUUGUUGUUCUUGACCUGUCACCUAAUUUUCUGCUCUAUGUUUCUGUCUCUCUGGAGGAUGUUUCCGUUAGUGUUUCCGUUAGUGUUUCCGUUAGUGUUUCCGUUGUUGUUCUUGACCUGUUACGUAAUUUUCUCUUUUAUGUUUCUGUCUCUGUGGAGGUUGUGUUUUUUCCGUUGUUUCGGUUGUUUCCGUUGUUUCCGUUGUUUCCUUGUUUCCGUUGUUUCCGUUGUUGUUCUUGACCUGUCACGUAAUUUUCUGCCGUAUGUUUCUGUCUCUGUGGAGGUUCUUUAUGUUCUUUCCGUUCUUUUUGUUGUUUUUGAACUGUCACCUAAUUUUCUGUCCUUUGUUUCUGUCUCUGUGGAGGUUCUUUCCGUUCUUUCCGUUGUUGUUUUUGAACUGUCACCUAAUUUUCUGCCCUAUGUUUCUGUCUCUGUGGAGGUUCUUUCCGUUGUUUCCGUUCUUCCGUUGUUUCUGGUUGUUUCUGUUGUUGGUUCUUGACCUGUCACCUAAUUUUCUGCCUUAUGUUUCUGUCUCUGUGGAGGUUGUUUCGGUUUCGUUGUCCGUUGUUGUUCUUGACCUGUCACCUAAUUUUCUGCCUUAUGUUUCUGUCUCUGUGGAGGUUGUGUUUCCGUUGUUUCCGUUGUUUCCGUUGUUGUUCUUGACCUGUCACCUAAUUUUCUGCCUUAUGUUUCUGUCUCUGUGGAGGUUGUUUCCGUUGUUUCCGUUGUUUCCGUUGUUGUUGUUGUUCUUGACCUGUCACGUAAUUUCUGCCUUAUGUUUCUGUUCUUGGAGGUGUUUGGUUGUG